rnacentral:rRNA from 1 species
GUGAGGAAUAUUGCGCAAUGGAGGCAACUCUGACGCAGCCAUGCCGCGUGCAGGAAGAAGGCGCUACGCGUUGUAAACUGCUUUUAACCGGGAAGAAACCCCAGGACGUGUCCUGGGUUGACGGUACCGGAGGAAUAAGCACCGGCUAACUUCGUGCCAGCAGCCGCGGUAAUACGAAGGGUGCAAGCGUUAUCCGUAUUCAUUGGGUUCAAAGGGUGCGUAGGCGGAGCGUUAAGUCAGUGGUGAAAUCCUGCAGCUUAACUGUAGACUUGCCAUUGAUACUGGCGCUCUUGAGUGCGCUUGAAGUGGGCGGAAUGUGCCGUGUAGCGGUGAAAUGCUUAGAUAUGGCACAGAACACCAAUUGCGAAGGCAGCUCACUAAGGCGAUACUGACGCUGAGGCACGAAAGCGUGGGGAUCGAACAGGAUUAGAUACCCUGGUAGUCC